UUAGCUGUAUUUAACUGAACACACACAUACACACAUUUUAUGAAUCAUGCUGUUGGUGAGUGAGCGUGAGAAGCUCAGGACAGCAGAGACGUGGUGAGCUCCUGAUGAAGUGUGUGUGUGUGUGUGUGUGUGUGUGUGCCCACUCAAGCUCUACUGUCUCUAAAGCCGAGCUGUGACACCUUCUGAAUCACCAGUGAGAUUCACCUGAGUCAUUUAGCAAAGAUAAAUAGAGGCUUCGGCAGCAGCGAGAUGCAGAGCCGCUGAACGCUGAAGCUUCUCUGACGCUUGUGUUUCACUCAAAGCACACUGAGAGUGGUUAGAAACGGCCAGCAGAACGGAAUAUCAUACAAGAGGCAGAUUAAUGGGUCGCAUUACAUCGAUUUACUCCAACUAAGCUUAAAAAGUCUUCAUAACACGGUCUGUGAACAGGAGCGCUGCUCUACCGGGUGCGCUAGCGAGCAAGUUUACCACCACAGACAAAACCAAACAUGUGGAGCUGCUUAUGUGAUGUAAAUGUCAAAAUGUAUUAAUUUACUAUGACAGAAGUGUUUUGCACUCAUAACAUUGUAUUGUGCACUAAACCACAAGAAAAUAAGGCUUUAUUGAUCAAUAAUCUGCCACUAGUGUUGAUUUCAGCUGGAAACUGCAGUGUUUGUAUGUGUAGACCUAUGUUUUUAAUGGAAAGAAAUUAACGAGGAGACGCUGUUUUAGCCAAUAACUGCAGGUGUCCUUUACUGUAGUGAUCUGGCUUUUUUGACUUAACUCACCCUCAUCUUCAUCUUCUCGCUCAUGAUGGGUCACAUUGGCAGAUGUCAUUGUUGCCAGGGAGACAGAUGACAUCAGGGAAUGACAUCGCAUCACUUCCUGCGGCCGCCGACAAGCUUUAAUUAUCACUAGGUGAAGGGUCAUAUUUCUGGACAUGAUCUGAAUCGUUCAGAAGAUUCACCGAGAAUCACUAUAUUUAGGGAGACACAUGAUGCGUUUUAGCCUUUGGUCACUUUAUAACAUUAUAUGUCCAUUUCAUAACAUUAUCUUACACAUUUGAGUAAUAUAAUAUAAAUAUACCUUGUUUAUUUCUGAGUCUGUUUUUCAUGUUUCAGAGCUCAAGCUUUUCUUCCACUCCUUUAGUGAACGCUGGAUCUGGAGACAGACAGGACAAGCUGAAUUCAUGCUCAACAUGAUCAAGCAAUCAAAAGAAAUAUAUUUUCUUUGCAUAAGGGCAUAGAGAUGAACCGACCCAGACGACGACGCUGUGACCCCCAAAACAGCAACAACAAGCCCUAAUUAAACCAUUAAAUCAUCUUCACAAACCAAUACAAACUGUGAGGCUUUCACUUUCUUGAGUUUGUUACCUGAAACACUACAUCCAUCAGAGAUCGCACAUGAGUAUGAACAGCAGUAAUAUUAACAGAUGAAUAAGGACUCUGAAUGCAGCAGAGAAGUCUUUCCAGUGAUGUUCAGUUGUUCAGAAGCACUUUCACAAGCGGGAAUGAAGCAGCAGAUUUGUCAGCGUGAUGCUGCUCAUAUUUUCCUGAUGACGCCGAUGAUUCGCACCAGAUUCUGUGGCUAAUAAACCUCCAGCACUUGAAUAUGACAUUUGGACAUGACAGAUAAACACACAUGUUGAGUUGGAGCGCAGCCUCGGCGUUGACCUGCUGUCCUGUUAUCAGAGUCCCCCAGCAACCAUCUGUCUCAGGAGCGGGACAAACUCACAGUCUGUCAUCAAACGAGCGCUUCACAGAUGGACAGAAACAUUCCCUUCCCUUCGUCAGCUCUCUCCCACUUUCUUGCUUUGUAAUUCAAACACGCAAAUCCACAAGAGCCUCUUCUGGCUCUUUCAGUUUUUACAUACAA